AUGCCGUGGGCUCCAACGCGAACGCCAUUGGCUCUCUUCCCUACAGAUUUACAUGAAAAGGAGAAUGCCGGUAGCUGGAAUUCUGGACCGGAAAGGAGCAAAUCUGAGAUCCCUAUUCUGCACAACUCCAAAUGUCCUGAAACUUUAUUGAGAAUUAUUUUGGAAUAUAAAAAAAUAUUGGGUGAAGAAAUACAAGGAGGGGACCCACCAGGUGGCCACAAGCCCGGGGGAGUGCCCUACCCCCAAGGCACGCCCCCCGGGCUUGUGGGCCCCCUGACUAGCCUCCGGUGCCCAUCUUCUACUAUAUGA
rnacentral:rRNA from 1 species